GAUGAACGCUGGCGGCGUGCCUAAUACAUGCAAGUCGAGCGAACGGACGAGAAGCUUGCUUCUCUGAUGUUAGCGGCGGACGGGUGAGUAACACGUGGAUAACCUACCCAUAAGACUGGGAUAACUUCGGGAAACCGGAGCUAAUACCGGAUAAUAUUUUGAACCGCAUGGUUCAAAAGUGAAAGACGGUCUUACUGUCACUUAUGGAUGGAUCCGCGCUGCAUUAGCUAGUUGGUAAGGUAACGGCUUACCAAGGCAACGAUGCAUAGCCGACCUGAGAGGGUGAUCGGCCACACUGGAACUGAGACACGGUCCAGACUCCUACGGGAGGCAGCAGUAGGGAAUCUUCCGCAAUGGGCGAAAGCCUGACGGAGCAACGCCGCGUGAGUGAUGGAGGUCUUCGGAUCGUAAAACUCUGUUAUUAGGGAAGAACAUAUGUGUAAGUAACUGUGCACAUCUUGACGGUACCUAAUCAGAAAGCCACGGCUAACUACGUGCCAGCAGCCGCGGUAAUACGUAGGUGGCAAGCGUUAUCCGGAAUUAUUGGGCGUAAAGCGCGCGUAGGCGGUUUUUUAAGUCUGAUGUGAAAGCCCACGGCUCAACCGUGGAGGGUCAUUGGAAACUGGAAAACUUGAGUGCAGAAGAGGAAAGAGGAAUUCCAUGUGUAGCGGUGAAAUGCGUAGAUAUAUGGAGGAACACCGGUGGCGAAAGCGGCUCUCUGGUCUGUCACUGACGCUGAGGCUCGAAAGCGUGGGGAGCGAACAGG
rnacentral:rRNA from 1 species